rnacentral:rRNA from 1 species
CGAUGGAUAGGGGUUCUGAGAGGAAGGUCCCCCACAUUGGUACUGAGACACGGACCAAACUCCUACGGGAGGCAGCAGUGAGGAAUAUUGGUCAAUGGGCGGUAGCCUGAACCAGCCAAGUAGCGUGAAGGAUGAAGGCUCUAUGGGUCGUAAACUUCUUUUAUAUAAGAAUAAAGUGCAGUAUGUAUACUGUUUUGUAUGUAUUAUAUGAAUAAGGAUCGGCUAACUCCGUGCCAGCAGCCGCGGUAAUACGGAGGAUCCGAGCGUUAUCCGGAUUUAUUGGGUUUAAAGGGAGCGUAGGUGGACUGGUAAGUCAGUUGUGAAAGUUUGCGGCUCAACCGUAAAAUUGCAGUUGAUACUGUCAGUCUUGAGUACAGUAGAGGUGGGCGGAAUUCGUGGUGUAGCGGUGAAAUGCUUAGAUAUCACGAAGAACUCCGAUUGCGAAGGCAGCUCACUGGACUGCAACUGACACUGAUGCUCGAAAGUGUGGGUAUCAAACAGGAUUAGAUACCCUGGUAGUCCACACAGUAAACGAUGAAUACUCGCUGUUUGCGAUAUACAGUAAGCGGCCAAGCGAAAGCAUUAAGUAUUCCACCUGGGGAGUACGCCGGCAACGGUGAAACUCAAAGGAAUUGACGGGGGCCCGCACAAGCGGAGGAACAUGUGGUUUAAUUCGAUGAUACGCGAGGAACCUUACCCGGGCUUAAAUUGCAGUGGAAUGAUGUGGAAACAUGUCAGUGAGCAAUCACCGCUGUGAAGGUGCUGCAUGGUUGUCGUCAGCUCGUGCCGUGAGGUGUCGGCUUAAGUGCCAUAACGAGCGCAACCCUUAUCUUCAGUUACUAACAGGUCAUGCUGAGGACUCUGGAGAGACUGCCGUCGUAAGAUGUGAGGAAGGUGGGGAUGACGUCAAAUCAGCACGGCCCUUACGUCCGGGGCUACACACGUGUUACAAUGGGGGGUACAGAAGGCAGCUAGCGGGUGACCGUAUGCUAAUCCCAAAAUCCUCUCUCAGUUCGGAUCGAAGUCUGCAACCCGACUUCGUGAAGCUGGAUUCGCUAGUAAUCGCGCAUCAGCCACGGCGCGGUGAAUACGUUCCCGGGCCUUGUACACACCGCCCGUCAAGCCAUGGGAGCCGGGGGUACCUGAAGUACGUAACCGCAAGGAUCGUCCUAGGGUAAAACUGGUGACUGGGGCUAAGUCGUAACAAGGUAGCCGUACCGGAAGGUGCGGCUG